GUAGAAUGCCUUUUUUUUUUAUUUUAUUUAUAUUCCUCUCCUCAUCCUCCUCUUUAUUCUUCUUCUUGUUCUUUCCCCUCUUUUCAACAUUUUGCUAGAAUGGAUUCAAAAUUAUCGACGAGACGUUGACAUUGAAUCGCGAGCCGUUUACUUUGUUUAUUUUUGUUCAUUGUUCGGAAAGUAAUUAUCUCGAUUAAGGUAACUAACUCCCUGACCAUUUUACACCCCUUUCAUGUUGUUUUGUUUAUUUCGUACUGUUUGCUAGACGCGUGUUAUAUAUAUAUAUAUAUAUAUAUAUAUAUAUAUAUAUAUAUAUAGAUAUGUGUGUGUGUGUGUGUAAACAUACAGGUUGCAGUGUAUAUAUAUAUAUCGUAUAAAAACGUGUAUAUUCAUGGAUGGGGAAAAGGGGUGGCUUAUUCUGCUCCCUUGGGACGUUUCGUAUAACUGUUUCCACCUGAAUUUCUCGUUACCUUUUGUAAAAAUCAAAAACAAAAAGCAUGCAUUAGAUUGUUUACCGAUUGUUGGGCAAAUAAAGCCGAUCAUUUUUGUUUUUUCUACAUUCUAUUAAAACGAUUUCCCAGGCAUUAUUAUAAUAAUCAUUAUAAUUAUAUAUUAUUAUUAUUAUUAUUAUUAGCAUACAGUACUAAUGCUACUGUCGUUAUUUUGAUAAAUUUUUUUUUACCUCUUUUAUUGCUAAUGUUGACAUUGAUAUCAGAACCGAAACCAAAACAGAUAUCUGUAUAAUAUGUAACUGGAGUCCACUCGAACAGUUAUAGUAGCGAUCGAGCAACAAAGAGGACAGGGAAAAAAAACUGCUGUCACACACGCAUACACACACUAGUGUGAUGAAGACCAGGAAAAAAAUAUAUUAAGUUCACAUACUGCGAUGUGAAAGCUGCCAUAAGAACUGUGAAAGAAGGGCGGCAACAGUAGGGGAAGGGAAAGUCGAGUUUAUAUACAACAUGGUCUGAGUGCUAGAACGAGUGAAUGGUGUGUGCAUCUCAUCACACGCGCACAUACACACACUUCACACAACUCAUGCACACACAUCUGAUGAAAGACACACACUUGUAACUGCCACCACACUUGUGGUUUUGUUAUUGUUUCUGAUAUCUAGACAGGUUUCUGUCUAGUUCAUCUCGCACGGAAGGGGCUCUAGAAGUAACGGCGAAAUAUAUUUUACUCCAGUUUGUGCUGUUGAGGAAUGGUAAUGGGCCUGCCUUCAUCACCCAUUCCACUUUAUCAUAUCUUAUUUCUUCCGCUUUAAGCGCCUUAAUUUAUAUAUCUUUCUACUGUCUGUCUUUCUCAGACUGAACAGCACUGGAUACACUACCGAUCUACACCUACACUUACAUCCAAACUUAAAUUUCUCCGUUGUCAGUACAGGACAACAGUCGGUCUGUCCGUUUAGUUAACUCUUGUCCCGAACUUCGGUUUAUUUAUACUCAACACAGGACAGCAACACACACACACACUAAUAUAUAUAUAUAUAUAUAGUGUGUGUGUGUGUGUGGAGUUGGUGAUGCUAACUGGAAAAUUGAACUCAAAACAUGAGUAUAUAUAUAUUUUGCAAAUUCACUACGAAAUUUAAACCUAAGUUCUUGAUUUUUUCUGAUGUGCCACAUUUAAACCCAAAAUUUUGAUCGAUACAUUUUCUAGAUUAAAAAAAGUCUAUUGGGUAAGCUGAAAAUAAAAUAUCUUGAUUUAUUUUAGUGAUGAUCCGGUAUUCAGCAUCUGUAAAAAAAAAAUAAAUAAAUAAAACAACAACAACGAAAAGGCAAAGGAAAACCACUCAGAAAAUGAACUCAAGUUAACAAGCAAGAAACCCUCGUAUUUAAACUCUUGUCCCUUGUGUCCAAUUAUUUUUACAGCAGUGACAACAUGGAAAGAUAGUUAUAUUGGGGGGAAAGAAAUGGGAUGCUAUAACUUCAUUUCUUUUUGUAAUGUUUUAGGGUCAGCGUUAAAACUCACAAGUUUCCAUAUCCUAUCACUUGUAAAAAUGCAAACUUCAUAUAAUUUCUUCAAAUUGGACUUAAGAAUAAGCAUUCAUCAUCGUGACCUCCUCGACCAUCGUCAUCGUGGCGGGGGUGAUUAGUGCAGGGAUGUGUAUUUGACGAACAAAAUCUGCGACACAGUUUUCAUAUUCAGUUCACACCGCCUUCCCGUCAUCAACUCUUAGGAAACGAUAUAAAAAGAAAGCUUCUACAUAGUUACUUGACCUGUUAGUGACAGCAUUCCUAAUCUUCCCCAGAUCCUCUUUUUACAAAAAAGUAAGGGCUCAUUGAACUAUGUUUAUCU
rnacentral:lncRNA from 1 species